rnacentral:rRNA from 1 species
UACGUAGGGCGCAAGCGUUGUCCGGAAUUAUUGGGCGUAAAGAGCUCGUAGGCGGCCUGUUGCGUCCGCUGUGAAAUCCCGGGGCUCAACCCCGGGCCUGCAGUGGAUACGGGCUGGCUAGAGGCAGGCAGGGGAGAACGGAAUUCCUGGUGUAGCGGUGAAAUGCGCAGAUAUCAGGAGGAACACCGGUGGCGAAGGCGGCGACCUGGUCCGAGACUGACGCUGAGGCGCGAAAGCUAGGGGAGCAAACAGG